rnacentral:rRNA from 1 species
UACGUAGGGUGCAAGCGUUAAUCGGAAUUACUGGGCGUAAAGCGUGCGCAGGCGGCUAUGCAAGACAGAUGUGAAAUCCCCGGGCUCAACCUGGGAACUGCAUUUGUGACUGCAUGGCUAGAGUACGGCAGAGGGGGAUGGAAUUCCGCGUGUAGCAGUGAAAUGCGUAGAUAUGUGGAGGAAUACCGAUGGCGAAGGCAGCCCCCUGGGAUAACACUGACGCUCAUGCACGAAAGCGUGGGGAGCAAACAGG